UCAUGUGGGCUCAUUUCUGCUCUUAGGCCAACCCUUUCUUCUUUCCCCAUUCUUCCUCUUUAUGCCCCCUGCCCCUGCAGUGAGAAAAAACGCAAGCCUGCAUGGACCGAUCGCAUCCUGUGGAGGCUGAAGCGGCAGCCCUGUGCUGGCCCCGACACUCCCGGACCACCGGCGUCACACUUCUCCUUGUCUCUGAGGGGCUACAGCAGCCACAUGAUGUAUGGCAUCAGCGACCACAAGCCUGUCUCCGGCACGUUCGACUUGGAGCUGAAGCCAUUGGUGUCUGCUCCGCUGAUCGUCCUGAUGCCCGAGGACCUGUGGACCGUGGAAAAUGACAUGAUGGUCAGCUACUCUUCAACCUCGGACUUCCCCAGCAGCCCGUGGGACUGGAUUGGACUGUACAAGGUGAUGUGGUGGCAAGGCAGGAAGUCCCUCAGUGACAGCCCCUGGUUCAUCCUUCCCGAGGGCUCCUGGGAGCUGGGCAGAUGCUGACGAACUCACCCUCAUCCACCCCAGCGGUUCUUCUGUAGCUAAAGGCUGGCAGUGAAGGGCGGCGGGGAGGCACACAGUACGGUAGCCAGG
rnacentral:sRNA from 1 species